rnacentral:rRNA from 1 species
UUCUGGUUGAUCCUGCCGGACCCUACUGCUAUCGGGAUGGGACUAAGACAUGCUAGUCGUGCGCUUCUAAGCCAUGGUGGAGGCGCGGCGCACAGCUCAGUAACACGUGGUUAACCUGCCCUUGGGACGGAAAACACCCCCGGGAAACUGGGGCUAAAUUUCCGAUAGGUGAAGACUCCUGGAAUGGGAUCUUCGCCUAAAGGGCGCUUAGGCCAUGCUUCUAGGCGCUGCCCAAGGAUGGGACCGCGGCCGAUCAGGUUGUUGGUGAGGUAAUGGCUCACCAAGCCUUUAACCGGUUCGGGCCGUGGGAGCGGGAGCCCGGAGAUGGGCACUGAGACAAGGGCCCAGGUCCUACGGGGCGCAGCAGUCGCGAAAACUCCGCAAUACGCGAAGGCGUGACGGGGCUAUCCCGAGUGCCGUCCGCUGAGGAUGGCUUUUCCCCAGUGUAGAUAGCUGGGGGAAUAAGGAGAGGGCAAGUCUGGUGUCAGCCGCCGCGGUAAUACCAGCUCUCCGAGUGGUGGGGACGUUUAUUGGGCCUGAAGCAUCCGUAGCCAGCUGAGCAAGUCCCCAGUUAAAUCCAGCGAUUUAAUCGUUGGACUGCUGGGGAUACUGUCCGGCUUGGGGGUGGGAGAGGCCGACGGUAUUCCCGGGGUAGGGGUGAAAUCCUAUAAUCCCGGGAGGACCACCAGUGGCGAAGGCUGUUGGCUAAAACAUGCCCGACGGUGAGGGAUGAAAGCUGGGGGAGCGAACCGGAUUAGAUACCCGGGUAGUCCCAGCUGUAAACGAUGCAGGCUAGGUGUUAGGGCGGCCACGUGCCGCUCUAGUGCCGCAGGGAAGCUGUUAAGCCUGCCGCCUGGGGAGUACGGCCGCAAGGCUGAAACUUAAAGGAAUUGGCGGGGGAGCAC